CUGUUUUCAUUUCUUAUUUGUGUAUUCACUGGAAUAGCAGUUUUAAUUUCCUUGAACAAUGUUUUCCUUUGCAUUCACCACUUGGCUAACUGGUGCAAGAGGCCUCGCUUCUGGCCUGUCUCAGCUGUUGACAAGCCUUCCUCACUAAGCUUAAUCAUUUCUAGCUUUUGAUUUAAAGUGAGAAACAUGCCACUCUUCCUUUCACUUGAACACUUGCAGGCCAAUGUAAGGUUAUUAAUUGUCCUCAUUUCAAUAUUCCUGUGUCUCAGGGAAUAGGGAGGCCCAAGGAGAGGGAAAAAGAUGGGGGAAUAGCUG